UGGAUCAAACUGCACAAGACUCUCACCUUC
rnacentral:piRNA from 1 species